AAUAAGCAGGCAAACUGAAGAGGGCCAAAGAACCAAUACAGGGUAUCUGAUUCAUGAUUUUACAAAGGUCUUCGAAUGUCCUGCUUGAAAACUGUCUGCCCACUUGAGAUUUUCCACAAGUCUUCCCAAACCACCAUAAAUGGAAAGGAUGAAAUACAGAAGAAGAACAAUUCCACUGUUAUUACUUUUAUUGUUUUUAUGGGCUUUGCACAGACAGUAUCAUGCUAGCACAAAGAAACUACUGAGGAUAUACCGGUGCUGGUCUGUGAACAGUCCAUCAGAGGAAUUAAAGCUAUCAGACUGGUUUUCUCCCAGUCAAUCCGUGAACCUGACCACCACCAACUGGUCAGCUCCAGUUGUGUGGCAUGGCACUUUCAAUGAAGAAGUAUUGGAACAGUAUUACGCAAAACAUAAAAUUACCGUGGGUUUCAAAUUCUGCGAUAAAGAGCGGAGUUGUGAAAGCCUUGGCACCUCAUUCCCCAGCCCAAUAAAGGCAGAACCCCCAAGAACCAACCCCUUCUCUCUCCUUACCUAAGACCUCGCUCUGUGACCCUGUGCUUACCUUGUACCCUCCAGGACUUAUAUAUUGACCACUAUUUGAGGAAAUUUAUAUUAUCAGCAGAUACGUUUUUUAUGGUCGGCCACAAAGUCAUAAUUUAUGUCCUGAUAGAUGACUUCUCCAAGAUGCCUUGGAUACAGCUGAGUACCCUCCGUACGAUCAAAGUGUUUGAAAUUAACCUAGAGAAGAGAUGGCAAGAUGUCAGCAUGAUGCGCAUGAAGACAAUUAGUGAACAUAUUGUAGAUCAUAUCCAACAUGAAGUCGACUCUCUCUUCUGUAUGGACGUAGAUCAAGUCUUCAUAAGGAAAUACGGCGUGGAGACUCUAGGCGAGUCAGUGGCUCAGUUACAUGCUUCCUGGUACAAGGCAGAUCUGAUAAAUGUGCCGUAUGUAAGACGGGAGUUAUCAGAAGCAUAUAUACCUUUUGGCGUGGGAGAUUUUUAUUACCAUGCUGCUGUGUUUGGUGGCGCUCCUACCCAAGUUCUCUAUAUUGCCAGGGAGUGCUAAAAAGGAAUCAUGAAUGACAAGAAAAACAGCAUUGAAGCAGGAAGGCAUGAUGAAAGCCACCUAAAUAAGUAUUUCUUUCUCCAUAAACCCUCUAAGCUCUUGUCACCCGAAUAUUUCUGGGAUUUAACUGGAACAGGUAUUAUUAAUAUUCGUAAUAUCAAACUAUUGGGCUAAAAAGGAUUAUAAAAACCUUAGAGUAAAAUUAUAGUUUUAUAGCACUUCAGAUUUCUGAAAAUAAGAGCAUCGGCUUUGUCUUAUUCCUUAGGGAAUUAGCGCUUGAUAAAUUGUAGCACUAAAAAAGUCACUAGCAACAUGGCAAGACCACCAGCAUGGCA